rnacentral:rRNA from 1 species
GACGAACGCUGGCGGCGUGCUUAACACAUGCAAGUCGAACGGAAAGGCCCUUCGGGGUGCUCGAGUGGCGAACGGGUGAGUAACACGUGGGUGAUCUGCCCUGCACUUUGGGAUAAGCCUGGGAAACUGGGUCUAAUACCGAAUAGGACUCCGGACUGCAUGGUCUGGGGUGGAAAGCUUUUGCGGUGUGGGAUGGGCCCGCGGCCUAUCAGCUUGUUGGUGGGGUGAUGGCCUACCAAGGCGACGACGGGUAGCCGGCCUGAGAGGGUGACCGGCCACACUGGGACUGAGAUACGGCCCAGACUCCUACGGGAGGCAGCAGUGGGGAAUAUUGCACAAUGGGCGCAAGCCUGAUGCAGCGACGCCGCGUGAGGGAUGACGGCCUUCGGGUUGUAAACCUCUUUCGGUAGGGACGAAGCGCAAGUGACGGUACCUACAGAAGAAGGACCGGCCAACUACGUGCCAGCCGCCGCGGUAA